rnacentral:rRNA from 1 species
CCUACGGGAGGCAGCAGUCGAGAAUCAUUCACAAUGGGGGAAACCCUGAUGGUGCGACGCCGCGUGGGGGAAUGAAGGUCUUCGGAUUGUAAACCCCUGUCAUGUGGGAGCAAAUUAACAAGAUAGUACCACAAGAGGAAGAGACGGCUAACUCUGUGCCAGCAGCCGCGGUAAUACAGAGGUCUCAAGCGUUGUUCGGAAUCACUGGGCGUAAAGCGUGCGUAGGCUGUUUCGUAAGUCGGGUGUGAAAGGCGCGGGCUCAACCCGCGGACGGCGCAUGAUACUGCGAGACUAGAGUAGUGGAGGGGGAACCGGAAUGCUCGGUGUAGCAGUGAAAUGCGUAGAUAUCGAGAGGAACACUCGUGGCGAAGGCAGGUUCCUGGACAUUAACUGACGCUGAGGCACGAAGGCCAGGGGAGCGAAAGGGAUUAGAUACCCGGGUAGUC